rnacentral:rRNA from 1 species
UACGGAGGGGGCUAGCGUUGUUCGGAAUUACUGGGCGUAAAGCGCACGUAGGCGGCUUUGUAAGUUAGAGGUGAAGCCCAGGGCUUAACUCUGGAAUUGCCUUUAAGACUGCAUCGCUAGAAUCGUGGAGAGGUGAGUGGAAUUCCGAGUGUAGAGGUGAAAGUUCGUAGAUAGUUCGGAAGAAACACCAGAUGGCGAAGGACGGGCCAACCAUGGACGGAA